UACGGGGGGGGCAAGCGUUGUUCGGAUUCAUUGGGCGUAAAGGGUGCGUAGGCGGCGCGGUAAGUCGGGUGUGAAAUCUCGGAGCUUAACUCCGAAACUGCAUUCGAUACUGCCGUGCUUGAGGACUGGAGAGGAGACUGGAAUUUACGGUGUAGCAGUGAAAUGCGUAGAUAUCGUAAGGAAGGCCGGUGGCGAAAGCGAGCCUCUGGACAGUUACUGACGCUGAUGCACGAAGGCCAGGGGAGCAAACGGG
rnacentral:rRNA from 1 species